GGAGAUGUGGCUGAGUCCGGUUUAAGGCGCUCGACUGCUAAUCGAGUGGGUGUAAAAGCCCCGCAGGUUCAAAUCCUGUCAUCUCCGCCA
rnacentral:tRNA from 1 species